AGCGAGUGGGGCCCCAGCAGGGCAAAGCCAUUGCUCACUGCUGCUGCCCAUUCCCAGCCCUGACUCAUGGGUGGGGGAGGAGGGAGCGGGGGCUGAGCCAUGCAAGAUGUUCCAGGCCUGGGUAUGUCAGGGCAGCCUGGGAGCCCUCCUCAGCUCAGCCUCCUGCUCAUGGGUGUGUCUCUCCAUAGUGCUGCCUUCUUUGCAGGGGCCGCGCAGCCCCUGGCAAGCUGUACACAGGGAUCGCUGCUCCUGCCAGGGAAAUGCAGCUACCUCUGGGGUGGCGCGCAGGAGUUGUUUAAUUGCUGUGCAGCCAGUGAGGACGGGAAGUGAAAGACACGGUGCCCAGUUGAAGUUGCAGGGUGGGACGGAUUUGAGGUUGGUGGAAUUUAGCCCAAUAAGGAAAUUCAAGGGAAGGACAGGCAGGUUUCAUAACCAAGCAGAGACCUCUCCAAGACGGCUCCACUUUGGAAGAUCCCCCGCACAGGGCCCCGCCAGCAGAGCAAGCCUGGCCUGUGCUGCUUGGGGCACAAGGGAAGUGUUGGCCUCCCUGCUCGGCGGGCUGAUUCCACAAGUGGUGACUCAGGGCCGUGCCCCCGGUCCCUGGGCAGCGGCUGUGUCAAGGCCGUUCUGGGCAGCGCAGAGGAGCCCCAGUGCCUUUGAUUUUUUACAGACUUCCACCCUGGUGCCAUCGAUCCCUGCGCUGUUCUUGCCCCUGGAGCUGGGCGGGCGUGACUUGCUGCAAAGGAGGCACAGAGCGACACUGGAGAUGCAGCGGCUGGGGGCUGUGCCCUGUUUCAGGAAAGUGCCUUUCACCCCAGCGACCUCCAGAGCUCUGUGCGAAGGCAGAGGGAGCCAGAGGGUGGAUCAGCCUGGCUUGGGGCCCCCCACCCGAAAGCCGACAUCUUGGGGAACUUGACCAGCUCCAGCACAUCCUGGGAAACCCCCAGCUCUGGCUCCUCUCCUGACCCCUCCUCCAACCAGGAGGCCCCGGGGAUGGACUGGCUGCGAGGGCUGGAACGGGGCUGCCAGCCGGGCCCGGAGGAAAGCUCCACUGUGGAUGGAAUCGUGCUGGGAAGUUCAUCUUUGGAGAUUGCACUGAGCCCAGCCCCAGGCUGCUCGGCACCCUCCAGGCCCCCUGGGAAAGGCCAGUGGCUGCAGGCUCCUGGACACUGAAGAAGCAGUGGCAGAAGCCGAGGGCAGAUGACGCGGUGGAGCUGAGGGAGGGAGUCGAACCCGGAGUUUGCUGAGGAGCCUGCUCCGUGGCUCUCAUGCACAGGGCCUGGUGCUGGGAUCUCUGGAGGCUGCCCUGGGCUGGAGGGAGCAGGCGAGGAGCCCAGGAGGGACUGGAGAGCCGCAGCCUCUGCUCAUGGAGAGCCCAGCAGCCCCAUGCUGCUGUGGGAGAGGAAAUGGACUGGGCAGAUGUGUCCCUGCCCUGUACAGCCAGGCUCACUCCCAGUGUGCAGCGGAUGGGCCCAGGGCUGCCUUGUGCCUGUCUGCCUCGUGCUCAGGCUGUGCCAUGUUGCUUGCGAAUGGCCAAGCCCCAGCGCACUGGAGAGCCACGGGCCUCCACCUACUACUGUCUUGCUGCCCCGUCUUUCCCCGGGCAUGUCCUGCACGGUGCCCUUGCCUCCCAGCUGUGCCCCCAUCCCUGUCUUGGGGAGAUCCCACCCGUCAGCACAGGACAUGCCACAGGCACCAGCCAGGCAGUCCUCCCUGGUGCCUGCGGAUCUUUCCCAUCCUCCCUGCCACCUGCAGCUCUGUGCAUGGCCCCGGGGCCUGCUCUGCAUGGCUGGGGCAGGAGCUGGCCCCGCUGCGUGGCAGGGAGGGGCUCUGUCCCUGGUGUGUUUCCCAGGCCCCUGCCUGUCUGACUCAUGGGCCCAGCUGCACCCAGAUCUCUGUUGUUUGCUGUGGAUUCACCUCCCUAAAUAAAGGGUUGCUGGUACGA